GGGAUAUGGCGAAAUUGGU
rnacentral:tRNA from 1 species